rnacentral:rRNA from 1 species
GAUGAACGCUGGCGGCGUGCCUAAUACAUGCAAGUCGAGCGAACAGAUGAGGAGCUUGCUCCUCUGACGUUAGCGGCGGACGGGUGAGUAACACGUGGAUAACCUACCUAUAAGACUGGGAUAACUUCGGGAAACCGGAGCUAAUACCGGAUAAUAUAUUGAACCGCAUGGUUCAAUAGUGAAAGACGGUUUUGCUGUCACUUAUAGAUGGAUCCGCGCCGCAUUAGCUAGUUGGUAAGGUAACGGCUUACCAAGGCAACGAUGCGUAGCCGACCUGAGAGGGUGAUCGGCCACACUGGAACUGAGACACGGUCCAGACUCCUACGGGAGGCAGCAGUAGGGAAUCUUCCGCAAUGGGCGAAAGCCUGACGGAGCAACGCCGCGUGAGUGAUGAAGGUCUGCGGAUCGUAAAACUCUGUUAUUAGGGAAGAACAAAUGUGUAAGUAACGAUGCACGUCUGGACGGUACCUAAGCAGAAAACCACGGCUAACUACGU